AUGUUGGUUGGUGGCGGGGUGCCGGUGGCCCUCCUCGCCAAGCUGGCCAAGAUGCUCACCGACGAAUACAAGCUGCACAAGAGCGCCAAGGAGGGGAUCCAGUACAUCCGGGAUGAGCUGGAGAACAUGCAAGCUGCCCUUGAGAAGGUGUCGGAGGUGCCACCGGAUCUGCUUGACAAACAGGUUCAGAUCUGGGCGAGGAACGUGAGGAAGAUGUCAUACAACAUCGAGGACACCAUCGAUUCCUUCAUGGUAGUCGUUGAUGCUGCUGUUGGCGAGUCUAGGUCUGGAUCCUCCACUACGUGCUGCUGUGUGAGUGCCAAAUCAUCCCUGCUGCCACGGACAUAUAAGGCCCGGGGCGACAUCGCCGUCGAGAUCGAGCGCAUCAAAAAGGAGGUUGAGGAGGUGAGCAAGCGUCGUGAGAGGUAUAGAGUUGACAGUUUUGCGGCCCCAGCUCCGCCGUCAGAUCCCCGCUUGCUGGCACUGUACGAAGACGAAGCAAAGCUUGUUGGCAUUGGCCGCUCGAGGGAAGAGAUCAUAAAGUUGCUACCUAUGCAAGAUGAAGGUGCAUCAUCGNNNNNNNNNNNCAGCAUACUUCGUCAAGUCAGCAGCAACAUCGUAGAUGAUGACCCGGAGGACAAGGACAAGGAUAAGAGAUUACAUCAUCAAGAAAGCCAAAAACAUUAUAGAAACAUUGCGACGUGGACUGAAAAGGAGAUCAUCGACAAAAUCAGACAUGCUCUUGAGAAAAGGAGAUUUUUCGGUCAAAAAAGAUCAAUAAAUGGUCGGACGUGUCGCAACUUGCAUACGGUGCCUACCAUGGGCAUGCCCACCUGUUUGCAAAAUUUGAUGUCAUUUGAAGGAUGUCCACAAAUAGACCAUGUUCAACGAAGGGUGUUCAGGUAG
rnacentral:rRNA from 1 species